rnacentral:siRNA from 1 species
AUUGUAAAUAAGUCUUAACUACA